UAGCGACUAGUUUAACCUAAAACCACUAAUUUCGACUUAGUAAAACGCAGCCACCCUGCGGUCGCAAA
rnacentral:tRNA from 1 species